rnacentral:lncRNA from 1 species
AUUAGUUAAACUUAGAAGGGAGUUUUGAUGCAGAAUAGGCCUGAACUUUUACCAACGUUGAUCGGGUUAAACCGAUUUAGUUUAUUAUUUUUUUAAUUAGAUUAGAUUUGUUGAGCAUAUCUUUUAGGAUAUUUAGCUUUCCUCUUAUUUGGUUAUAUCUUAUUUGCUUAUGUGUUUCUAAGGUGAAGGAUAGUAUAAGUAAGGUGUAGAUCUUCAUUGUAUAAGGGUUAUGCAUAUUAUUAAAUAUUUAUGUAAAUUGAGCUUCAAUUGUAAUCGACAAGUUCUUUUGGAAGAAAAGAAUUUUUGAAAUUUGAUAAUUUGUUCUGUAAAUUAGUGACUGGAUAAAUUUUGAAUUAUGAUGUCUCUUGGUGUUUCGCUAUGCAAUGUUGGUCAUGUCGACAUAUAUUCUGUUAUAGAAGUUGGCUUCGUCUCUGUAUUGCACCUUUAGGUGCCUGCGCCUAUCCGCGCCUCUGUUCUGUUUGCGCCUUCGGGUGCCUCUAUUUUGCAUAUGUACCUUUGAGUGCCUCUGUUCUGUUUGCGCCUUCGGGUGCCUCUGUUCUGUUUACGCCUUCGGGUGCCUCUGUUCUGUUUGCGCCUUCGGGUGCCUUGGGUACCUUUUAGUUGCCGGAGACUUAAUAUUUAUUUCGUUCAUUUACUGAAAGAGAAAUGCUUUGUAAAUUUAUAGUUUCAAUCUGAUCUGAAUUUCAGGUUUUGAUAAUUCUUGUUUUCUGAAAUUUUGUAAAUGAAAAACUAGUCGCUUAAAUUAUUUUUUGUAUUUAUUUAUUUGUAUGUUUAAUCCAAUUAAUAUGGUGUAUGGUUGCUUAUCUAGGUUCCGAGACUGAUUCGUAGGGCGGGCUCCCGAUCGAGUGAACGUUAGACGUAGCCAGUUUUGAUUUUAGUCCAUUUUGUUUUUAUAUCUAGUAUUUUCGGAUGUGAAUCUUAGGGCUACAUAGAUGAUCGUUUGUUAUCUUCUUUUGUUUAGCUUUUUUUUUGUACCCACCUUUGUUAACACUACAAGAAUAUUAUAUAUUGGUGGCGAGUAAUGUCGCCACCAUAUAUAUAAAAAGUUGCCACCUUUUCAAAAGGUGGCGACUUUUAAAGUCGCCACAAGCUGCCACCUAAAGUGUUGCCGCUAAAUGAAAUUGUGGCGAAGUAUGAAAAAUCGCCACCUUUUUGAAAAUAGUGUGGCGACAUUUUAUCGCCACCAAAUAUGACUUUUAGUGGCCAUUAUUUAUCGCCACUUUAGUAAAGAUAGUGUGGCGAUAUUUUGUCGCCACCAAAUAUGACUUUUAGUGGCAACUAUUAGUCGCCGCCUUAUUAAAAAUAGCAUGGCGAUAUUUUGUUGCCAUCAAAUAUGACUUUUUAGUGGCCCUUACUAGUUGCCACCUUUUAUGGAGAUAAGGUGGCAAUACGUUUUUGCCACCAAAUAUUUACCUUAAGUGGCAACUAUCACGGUCGCCACCUUAGUUGAAAAUAUAAAGGCAACAUUUUGUCGCCACCAAUUGUGCAAUUAAUGGCCACCAAUAAUAAAAAGGUAAUAAACUAAAUAUAAAAAUAUACAGCUUAUAUUUUAUAAACAGAACAUAUACAAAAUAACAAACAAAAUAUUAAAGUAAACAAAAUUAUUCUUUUAACAACAAUUUAAAAGGCUAAUUAACUUCUGAUCCACAACAGCUUAAAAACAAAAUAAUAGCAAAAUCAAUUUAAAGGCAAAGAGUAAUAAUAUUCGAUAUAUAGUUCAACAUCAAUCCUAACUCUCUCAACUUUGAAAAUAGAAAAUACUUAAAAACGAUAAAAAAAUGCUUCAGCUCCUAUUUCAACAGCAAUUCAUUUCCUGCAACAAACAAAAAAAAGAAAAGCAAAUUAUAUAAAUUAAACAAUCUACAACAAGUUGGAGUAUUUUUAGCAUAGUUGGAUACACAAACAAUUUGUCUUUUUGAAUUUUUGAUUUAAUGGAUUAUUAACAAUCUACUUUGAUCUGCAAAAAAACUAGAGCUGGAUGCAGAAGACUUUUUUUUUUAGCGCUAACUGUUAAUUCUAAAUGUUCGAACUGUUAAAAAAAUAUAAUUAAUUUAUUUAAAGUAUACAAACACAAAUAUAACAUAGGUCUUGAUUUGAGGCUUGGCCCAAUCUAGCCAACUGCCACUUCGAACUUGAUUGAGCCCAAUUUGAUCUCCUAUCGUUUCAAACAUGACUCAGUUCAAUCUGAUUUUCUAUUAUAAGGUAAAAUGCUGAUCGCUUUAAGUCAGUAAAUUCAUUCUCAUUUGUUUAUUUUUGUUCCAACCAGUCCCAAGUAAAAUAGUAAAAAAAAAAAAAGAUAAAAUGCUGAUUCCUUGUUUCUAAAAGGGGUGAAAUUAAGAUCUAUAGCCACCUAGAGACCUUACUAUUAUUCAUUACAUGAAAGCCAAAAGAUCUAACCUGCAAUAGAUCUAAGCUUGUUAUGACUAAGAUCCAGUAUCUGAACCCACAACAUGAGUUCAACACACCCAACACGUGUUAAUGAUAGUCUGCUAAGCUGUAAGCAAUUGUGGUGACGAAAAGUAGAGAAGUAUGGGUUAUCAUAUUGCCAACAAUAUUUCACCAAAGACUCUCUGUCUGAAGUUGCCUGCAAAGUGAAAGCGAAGUUAGAAUGAGCUGGGAAACCUCGAAAGAAUUUCCAAACAGUAAACUUCUAUUAAAUUAUAUGAAAUAUUAAAGACAUGCUCAAUAUUAGCAGAAGAAAAUCAUCUAAAAAAAAUACAUAUAUUUCCAGCAGAAAACUUCACAAAGCCUAGCUUUGCUGUAGCUUUGGCUUUUCCACCUACAUAAAACUAUAAAGAGUCAUGUCCAAUAAUUUUGGAGUUCAAAGUCACUUGCAUGUAUCUAUCCCCAAAAAGGUUUUUUUCGAAAGCCGGAUUUUAUGUAGGAUAAGGAAAUCUACAUCCAUGUCACGCUGAACUCGAACAUAAAAGCGGACAAAACAGAUAUUACUCAAACCAUUAUCACCCUCACCCUAGCAUCAACUGAAUAAUACAUGGUUAAGAAGUGUGUACGAAAUGAUUACCUGAUCCAAUAGAACUAAGCUCUGUUCGUCCUCAUUAUACCUUUUAUGAGAUGGAUCUAAUUUGAUCAAAACAUCAAAGAGAUCUAAAGCCUCCUCACAGUGCUUCCUCUUUUGUAGUAGAGAAUUUUCAGGAGACUUCAUUGCAUCAUAUGCAAUCAAGAGGCGUGCUAAUGUUAACUUCACAAAUUUACUGCAAAGAACGAAUAACUUGAGACAAGAAUCAGCCGAAAAAGGGAAAAAAAAAUAGAAACAACAAAAAUAAAGGUAAUAAUAAUAAUAAUAAUGAUAACACUAACCAAUUUUCUUCAGACAUCUCUUUAAAUAGAGUUAUCUCUUCAGACAAAGUGUCUAAGUGCCACUUUAAAUCCUCUUUCAGAGCAUCAUCAUUGAUCUUCAGCUGAUCAAAUGAAGUGAAAUCUGAAUUUUCCUGAGAAUAGAAUUUUUCCGAAUAAUUCCAUGAAAAUGGCUCCUGAGCCAAAUUUCCAUGAGCCUGCUCUGGAACAUUAUGAUCAAACUCUAUGCUAAAUUUGAACUUCGAAGGAUUGUAAUGCAAGCCACUAACUGACACAAUACCCUCCGAGCAGCCAACUUCUACUUCAACUGAAUAAGUUUGUGAAGUACUGCAAUUUCCCUCGAGAAUCACAAGAUAAGUAGUCCAGCAAUCUGAUGGAUUGCACUAAUUCACUAAUCUAACCAUGGGGAAAUAAAUUUCUCUGACAAACAAACAACAGAUAAUACUGACGAUCCAUUGCAUAUGGAGGAGGAAGAUCCCAAUGUUUCUGCUGAAUUGCCAGAAAAUUGAGGACCAAUCCUGCAUUAUUCUCUCAAGAUAUAGUUAGGAACACUAAUUGAACUGCCGACAUGCAAUAUAUACAAUAAUUAACACAUAAAAUGUGAUAUAGCACUCCAAUAAACGUUAUCUCAACCAGCUAGAGAAAUCUCUCGUACACAAACAGAAGUUCUCAAUGAAACAAAGAAUGUAAACAUCUCCGAAAACCUUCAACCGUAAAACAAUCAAGAGAUAAAAUCAAUAUAAUCAAAUAAAUUCUUCAAAUCGGGAAGACCUUCGGAUGACAAGUGCACAAUUAGUAACGAAGAAGCAUGCCAAAGGACAUGAAAGGGCCUAACUCCACAGUAACGAGAUAAGAAAACUUAUUCUAAGCGAUCAAUAACCCAAUCAAACAAGAAUAGAAUCAGAACCACCGAUCGAAGAGUCUCCAUACAUCAAAGAGCAACGAAGUAAAGAAACCAGAGAAAACGAAGCAAUCAACACCUCAUUCGAUCACAAAUGCUUGAGAAGAAACCGUAGAAACACAAAUCUGAGCUCAUGAAUGGAACAAAUAGAGCACGAUCACUUACAGCGGAUCUUCCGAGGGAGUGAUCCGCCGCCAUGGGAGAUUGAUCCAUGGGAGAAGAGGGAGGCGUCGGGGGAGAUCGAGACGGUCGGAUCGGGAGCGGCGAAGCACUAACCCUAGGUGAGGAGCUCGCCGGUGACGAGCUCACCGGCGAGGAGUUCGCCGUGACGAGAGCUCGUCAAGGAAGAGACGGAGAGGGUGGGAGCGGAUUAAGGAAAUAGGUUUCGAGGGGGUUAGGGCUUUUUCUUUAGUGCAGCUGAGAGGAUGUGGAGGGGUCAGGGGAGAGGCCAGGUCAGCUCAGGGAAUACGAAUUUUUUUAAUUUUCUAAAAAUUUAAAUUAUUAAUUUUAAAAUUAAAUUAAAAUAUUAAUUUAAUUUAAUUUAAAAAUUAAAUUAAAUUUAAUUAAUUUGUGGCAAUAUUUUUUAUUGCCAUUAUAUGUAACUAAAUAAUGGUGAUUUAUUUUAUCGCCACCAUAAAUAACUAAAUAGUGGCGACAAAAUAGUCAUUUAGUGGUGAAACUAGUAUCGCCACUUUAAAGUAAUUAAUCGGUGGCGAUUUUUUUUAUCGCCACCAUAGAUAAGAAAAUAGUGGCGACAAAAUAGUAAUUUAGUGGUAAAAAUACUAUCGCCACUUUAACUUAAUUAAUUAGUGGCAAUUUUUUUUAUUGCCACUUUAAGUUAAUUAAUUAGUGGCAAUUUUUUUUAUCGCCACCAUAAGUAGUUAUAUAGUGGCGAUAAAUUUUGUCGCCAUUUUAUUUUUGCCACCAAUACUAUCUUUUCUUGUAGUGUAAUUAUGGUAUUUAGUGGACCGAAUUUCUCUUGUGUUUCGUAGCAAGCUUAGAAUUCAGUUUGAUUCCAGUUGAAAUUCAAUUUCUUAGUCCCAUCUUUUGAUUAUUUGAAUUUAGUGAAAAAUUGGCGAUCAUCUUUUUGCUAGUUUCUGUCUGGUUCUAUAGCCUUGUAUAUUUGCUAGUUUAGCAGGUAUGUGGCGUCUGUUAUGCCUCGGGUUGGGGCAUGACAAUAUCAUGGCAGUUCAGAAUGGUGAUGAAGAAUGAAACUUUCCGCUUACAAUUACCGUGUGAUUAAUUCCUUCCAACAUAUAAUGUCCCAAGCGAACUAAGAUCAUGGUUACUCGCCAAACCUUAUGAUUCGACCAUAUGACUAGAAUAUCUGAAAUUAACUCAAUUAGGGGUGGAACUGGGCCCGGGCCUAAACAAGGCCCGGCCCGAUGGGCCAUGUUUGGGCCAGGCUUUGGGUAUUAAAAACUUAACUUUGGGUUCGGGCCGGGCUUCAAAAUUUAGGCCCGAAAAAAUUUUGGGCCUAUUUGGGCAUGUCCAAGCCCGGCCCCAGCCCGACCCAAAAGCCCGAUAUAUUAAUUAUUAAAAUAAUAUAUUUAAUUAUAUAUAUAUAAUAUUUAUUUAUAAAAGAAUAAAUUAUAUAAUAUAUCAUAUAUACUAUAUAGUGUUAUUAAUGGUAUAUACUUAUAUAUAUAUAUAUAUAUAUGAGGAUAUAUUAUAUAUUAACAAAAUAUUUAGUUCCAUAUUAGGAUAUAUUAAAUAGUAUUAUUAUAUAUAAUUAAUUAAUUAUAAAUAUCUAUGAGUAAAUAUAUGGUACAUAUUAUUAUACAAAUAAAAGUAUUUAUGUAUUAUAUGAUAAAUGUAUAAAAUGGGCCUUCACAAAGCCCGAUGGGUAUUGGGCAUUGGGCUUGGGCUUGGGCCGGGCCUUAAUUUUUAAACAAAAUUGGGUAAAAGCCUGACUCGAAGCCCAACAUUUUCUUUUGGGCCGGGCUUGGGCAUAGUAUUACCCGACCCAAGCCGGCCCAUUUCCACCCCUAAACUCAAUAUAGCAACACAGUUGGAAACUCUUUUUAUAUACUAUGUAUCCUGGCCAGAGGUUUUUCGAGUCGAGUCUGAUAAACUGUAUAUGAUGUUCUCCCUCAUCAUUGAGAGUGUUGGAUUCCUUUUUGCACAUUCACAUGCCUCCCUGCAUACAUCACUACAGCUAAUCAGUACCGAACAUAAAUCCGUGUCUAGAGUCUAAGUAUUAGUACUGUCAAAUGUAGCAAACUAUACGUGAAACAACUAUGAUGUCUCAAGUCUAAUGUCACACCCUGGACUUCAGCGGAAGCUCACCAGUCACGUGCACAGACCCGCCGUAUACACCACGACCUCAAGUGUAUACUAGGCGUUUACAAUUAACAUAGCAAAAGUAUAAUGUUUUAACUGGUAAUCAGAGCAAAACUUAAAAGUUCAUAAACUUAUGCAACACAUAACCUUAUUACAACAGAUAGGAACAAAGUACACUCUACAUAUGUCACGCCCCGAGUUACGCCAAUUUGGUCGGAUUUGGGCCACGUCAACAGACGCCGAACGGACAGAGCCUUCCUUGCCCGCCCAAGGCUCUAGCAACGAGUAUAAUUAAGCAAUCAAACAAUGAGAUUUGCAAUUAUACAAGGUUUGUACGAGGGUAAGCAACAAUGAGAAUGAAAGCUCUAAUCUACUACAAGCAACCACAUACAUAAUAUUUGAUUACAUUUUAACCAGAUACAAGUAAACUAAAACUAUUAUAUUCAUUUUUACUUUCAUUAAUAAUUUCUUUACAUCAUAAUCAUCCAACCCCAAAAUACAUGAUUGUUUACAACUUUUACAUCACUUGAUCAACAAAAUAAAAGGUGAUACAUGAACAAAAGGGAAUGACUAAGAUGUAAAUACUCUGGCGGCCACUAGCUAUGACGCUAUACCCUUGUCUCGAUCCUCCGCCGCCCCACUCGUGCUCGGAUCUGUAGGGUUAGUGGUGUGAGAACUACAAUGAAGUUUCCAGUGGGUUCGGCCACCGACCUCGCCGACUUAUCCAUUAGGUCUAUUUAGGCAUAAGUAUUUCAAAGAAAGGAAAUAGGAAACCAAACUAAUGCUAAUACUAUGCCUGCAAGAAAACUGUCAACAGAUAGAUAAUCAUAUGUAUGAUGAAUAUGCAUGCAUGCUCUUCUACUUUUACCUUGGCUUAUACCCAAUUAAACCUGUUAACAUUUGUUAAGUCCAACAACUCACAACUUAAUAUCCCGUCUACCGGGGGAGGCUCCAUGCACUACCACCCGAGGGACCAUCAACGGGGCACUCUCCCCAUGGUGUCUACACUCCGGAGUAAACGCUUGAGAAGGAGCGACCUCCCUCAAGCCAAAAACCCAAUGUGAGUAAAAUCCAAUCCUCAUUUGGAGGAUGCAUAGCCACUAGCCACAAUGCCACUAUAUCAAUGAUAGGUUUCUAUCUUAUCAUAUUUGCCACUCUCUAGGCUACUCUUGCCAUAAUGCCACUAGUGGUUAAACCUUGUGUCACGCCCCGGGACCGGCGGAGGCCCUCCCGGUGGCGUGCCCAGACCCGCCAUAUGUCUACACAUAUAAGGCGUCUACAAUAAAAGCGGAAGAAAAGCAAGAAAUAGAACAAAUAAAAGAAGUGAAAUAACCAGCAACUAAUGAUAUCAGAGCAAAUAUAGUUCUAGCAUCUACACCAAAGUAAGCAGAUAAGGAUAGACAAUAAAGGAAAUCAUAAGUAGUACAAUAUCUGUCUCUAGUACAAAAAUGGUGGUCUCUAUACAUAUACGGGUACAACUCUCAACCUCUCACAAAAAGAUAACACGAGAGGUAGACCACCUAUCGAACGAUCCCUCGGUAAGCACGCUAGCCCGAGGCGAUACCCUUUCCGCGAUCCCUGGCCUCUCCCUGAGUGGAAGGCUCUGAAAAACAUCGAGAAAAAGAGGGCGUGAGAACUAUAAUUUAUAGUUCCCAGUGGGCAAUUACUGACCUCAGCUCUUGCUCCACUAGGCCCCAAAAACAAGGGUAAGUAACGAUAAUAAUAAAAGCAAUAAGGAGCAUAUACAUAAACUGCUGAAAGAAAGCAUAAAUGAAAUGCUAGUCUACUGUGUCUCAAAUAAGCAUGAUGUCAACCAAAAUGUACAUCUAUUCUAUCAUUACAAUUAAGUCCAAUCACACUAGUUUAAUGUUGUUAACCUUUGUCAAUACAUGAUGUAGAAGUUCUAAUAUGGCAACCAAGUAUACUACAUGUCUCACACUAUGCUAAAAGCAUGUAAAUGUAACCCAACUACUAAGUCUAUCUAGUAGUGAUCAUUCAUCCUCAACCCCGUGUCGAUUUCCAUUUCCAAUUAGGGACCUACCCAAGGUAGUCCAGCUUGUGCCGCCUAAGUGCCUGUGGUAGCCCGACAUUCCUACUCUUGGAAUGUGUCUGUCCCACUCGACCCCGUAGGCUUCUCAAUACCGCACGAGCGAUCAAAAGUCGCGUAGGCUAACUCCGGAGUGCCGGCUUGUAGGGAGCGACCCUCACAAGCAUGUGCGAAUGAGCACAAAUGGCAAGCAAGCAUAGUCCAAGUCUCAAAUAUCCAAUCCUCAUGUCUCUAACAUGGUAUCAUAACUAGCAUCCCGAAGAUCUAGUCUAAGUCACAAUGUGAAGUUUCAACAUUUGCUACGCCUAGUGCCCCUUGAUGACACUUAGGCAAUUUGAUGUUCAACAUGUUUUCCAAAUCCCUCAAUGGCCCUAUCCACUAGGUUCUCACAAGUCCUGAGCUCAAUGCCGCUUGAUGACAUUAGCUCUCCAAUUCACAUGAUAUCAAGUUCGAUGCCUACAAUUGUAGCAAUUGUCAUCUUUCAUGUCCCAAUUAAACUUAUGUUUAAACGCAUGAAUCAUAGCUCAUUUACUCUCUAGAACCAUGAAAUCAAACCUCAUAUAGAAUGCUAAAUGCAACCAAAGAUCUCUCAAGCAACUCUCUACUACAUAGAGGUCCAAAAAUUCAUCAUAUAUAACUUAUGCAUUUUAAGCAUUCUAAAACUCAUAAUAAAUGUAUUUAAUAUGAAAAUGCAUGAAUUAUUAGUAAACAAAGCACUUAUCACCAAAUAUGAGAUUUUCUCAUAUUAUAGGCUAGGUCAAACCCACCGACGACAACGAAGCUUUUCGUUUGCUCCAACGGAGGUUUCUACAAGCUUUCUAGCACCCUAGGAACAUCAAAAAGAGUGUCAUCCAAACGAAACGAAGAGCGAAAAGCUCAAACAUUAAGCAUCUAGCAAAAUGGGCAAAACUCACCUCAAGAGUAGAAAUCUCUUCCUAUGCUCCAAAAGAGAGCUAGAACCCUUCCAAUCUAACCUAGAGGAAGGUUCUAAUCCAACCAAUCUAGCUCCAAAAGCCCUAGAAGCAAAAUGCCCAAAUAAACCCUAAAUUUCCAUUUCUAGGGUUUGAUCUACUACAAAGCAUCAAAACCAAAAUCUAGAGGAAAAGAAUAAGCCACCAACCUCUUAGAAGCCUCCAACAAGGUUCAAAACCCUCAAGGUCCAAGAAUCUCUCCUCCAACAAGCUCCAAACCCAAGCUCCAAUGGUGGAAUAGCCUCCAAAACCCAAAAAGGAGCAAAAAGAGGUGAUUAAUCUCUAAAAACCCAAGCAAAAUCAAGGAAAAGGAAUGAGGAGGUAUGGAGAGCUCCCUCACCUUUCUCCUUGCUGGUGCCAAGCUCAGGGAGAGCCCUAGGGGCGUGGGUGGCUAUAUAGAAGGCCACAAUCGCGAAAAACCCCCUGCAGUUCAAACUGCUCAGAAUCUGCACUGCGUACCGGUACACGGGCCCGCGUACCGGUACACCUUCUGCGAAAACGCCCAGCCCGAGCCUCGGGUUGGCUGAGAAGCGGCCAAAGUCGAUGGCUGUACCGGUACAGCCAUCACUCCCGUACCGGUACACAGCCCUCUGAAGGCAACCCGAGAGCUAACCAAAAAUCCGAUUUUUCGGAUUUUCGUGCUCGGCUUUAAACUUCACUUCUC